AAGUCUAAUCGCAUACACUUACCGGCAGGAAUCGGUAGUAUCGGCCCAGUAUGUUUGUAAACUGGGUAUUCGUCGGAUAAUUUUCACGUGUAACAUAGGUUUUCAAGGGUAUUAAUUUUUAAUGUUUCGCAUUAACAGUUCAUUAAAUGUACUCCACCAUAUUUUAAAAUAUACUAGACUUGUUAUAAUUUGUACCCGAAGACUAGGGUUAGAAUCCGUGCAUUCUUUGCGGGCAGCUGAUGGCCGUCUUUAGGACGUCCAGAGCAGACAACCGUAAGGUGGGACAUGUAAAAUUGCAAACCUGUCGGUGCUUUUGUUGUGUAUUUUAUGUUGAGAAGAAUCAUAACAGCCGUUAAUUUGAAACCUUUUCACCUCAGAUCAUCACUUUAUACAGCGCACAGCAAAGGAAUGGGUCUUAUUGGUCCCAUUUCGGUUGUGAAUAUCGAAAUCUCCUCUCUGGUUAGCUGAAUGGUGAUAUCUAGAGACGACAACGAUGCAAAGCCUGAAGGCUGCAUGUGAGGAAGCUGAACACAUAUUGCACAUAGCAAAGAAGUGCCCUCAGUCUGUGCCUCAGUACCAAGAGAAGAAUGGCAAGGAAUUUUUCUCAAUUCACCAGAAACUGAGAGAACUUUAUGAGGAGGAAUGUUCCAGAGACUCACAUCAACCUGAUAAGCAUCUUAAAUCCUGCUCACAUCUCCUGGACAAACUUGUGAAACGCGAGCAUCUACAUACUCUGAUAGUAAACCUGUAUCCCGGAAACAAAGGUUACUCGAUUGGUAUACGUAUCCACAGUAAAUCAGGAGCUGGUAGCCAUCCUAGCACCUGUGCAAACACUAGCACUAGCAGUUCAAGUAAUAGCAGUGGCAGUGCUACUGAAAGUGUCAUUGAAACUAUGCGUUGGCCAUAUCAUGAAGAUGAACUUCUCCACUACAUUGAUAAUGAGGAGUUACCUCCGGUGGUUGUCGAUCUGUUGGAAGCAUCAAACCCAGAAUUGUUUUACAACGGUUGUAUCAUAGCGGAAGUUCGAGAUUACCGAAAGCAUUAUGUUUGUGAUACGCAUCAUGUACUCCUCCGACCAACCACACAGAGUCUUCUGUGUGAUGUGAACUUGUUGACGGCUGAUGGUGAAUGGAAUGCAGAAGAUAGGCUAGCCUUGGAGAGUCAGCUAGUUUUAGCAACGCAGGGUCCUCUCUGUCUGGAUCCUUCACCUGCUGUUUCUAUUGUUAGCAAUCGUAUGCAGUACCAUCGUCAUGCUCUAAACACCAGACCUCUGAGGCGUUGUGCUAAGAAGUUUUCCCAGGUGUCAGUAAACAGGAAGCGGAAACUAGAGGAACACUGUCUUCAUCAUGACAUGCAAUUACAUGAUUUCAUCGCUCGAUGGAGAGCAAAAACUCAUAACACACCAGUUUCUGAUAGUAAGCUGCUCAAGAAGCCAUGUGAAAAUGGCUUGCCAGUGCCUCAUCCCUCUCCUACUUCUCCAUUGGACUCUACGAUGCCAGAUCUCACUGUACCUGAAGGUGGCGUGGACGUUAUGAGGUUUGCCCGAGCAUACGAACGUCCUCGCGAAACAAAUGACUGCUCUCCUCAGCUUGUUGAGGAGUAUAUUCUGGAAUCUGAAAGUCCUGAAGGAAAAAUAAACCACAUUAAGCUCUCCAUUUUUCAGCGGCUAUCCAAUGCUGAAUACCUGGGAGAGCUGUAUGUGGACAGAGACUACAAACAAAAUGAGGAUAAUGGCACUGCGUGCAAAUUUUACCUUGGAACAAGAGUUCAGGCCAACCGUUACAUCCAGCAGUUUACUGAGAUAUUUACUGAGGAGGGCCGUAAGUCAGUUAGAAUAACCCACAUUGUUCCUGGCCAGCCUACAAGAGUAACCUGUACAACCAGCAUGAGGGACAGGAACGCCCGUGCGGCACAGCAGGCACAGGCCCAGGCUCAGAAACUACAAGUUCAAGUGCAAAAUACAAUUCAGGUUCAAAACCAACAAACUGUUCCCCAGCAAAAUCAGCUGUUGCAAGCUGCAAGUCAGAUACAGACUUCUGUUCAUGCCCAUCAUCUGCAUAUGCAAGCCUCAAAUCAUAGUCCAGCCCAUCAGAUUCAGGUACAAACUCAGCAACUUCAAAGUCAACAUUUACACGCUCAUCAGUCUCAAGUGUUAAGUCUUAAUAAUUCGAUAGUGUCGCCACCGCCUGUGACGAACAUUACCAGUGUUGCUAAUGUAAGUAAUUCUUCCAUUAACAAUUUAUCUACUGCGACACCAGCAAAUGUUAUAAACGGAACAGUCGUUGCACCGAACAUUGCAGGAACUAAUAUAGUGUUGCCAAAUGUUACGAAUUCUCUGACAUCAGUAUCGACAGCAGUGGGAACGGGAGUCGGUGUGUCUUCGAUGGCUGGUGUUACAUCACAGAGUUCUGUCAACAAUGGUUCUGCACCAUCAUUGACAUCACAACAGCAGCCUCAGAUGCAGUUGUCGUUGCAGCCAGCACCUAGUCAGGUUCAGAAAUCCUCCUCAAGUGGUCCCCGUCACAUAACCAACCCAGCCAUCAGUGCUUUAGUCACCAGCUUAAUGAACUCGGCACAACAGUUUCAACAGCAGGCUGCUGCGGCGGCAGCAGCAGCAGCGGCAGCACAGGCAAAUUCAAAUGCUGCUACAGCGUCUACAACCGUCGCUGUUUCUGGUACCACCAGUGGUGUUGGAUCAUCUGUUGCAAAUUCAGUUCAAGUAACAAGCAGUUCAAACAAUUCUGCUAUGCUAAGCCUUCUGAACAGUUCACAAUCCACAGUGGCAAACAUUAAUACAAAUGUGAAUCCAGCUACUGCUCAAGCCAUCAGUCAGAAAAUUCUUGCCCGAAAAAUGACAUUAAAUCUUCUUAAUCCACGUUUGGUGAACCAUAGUACAUUACCUAAUAAUAGUAUUACAAGUGGGAAUACAUUAGUUCAGAAUAAUGCAACGGGGCAGCAGCAGCAGCAGCAACCAGUGAGAGUGACACUCUCGUCUCUGGCUUCUCAGCUUGCUUCACCUCCCGCAACAACAACACCAGCAUCACAAACACAACAGGCCUUUACCAUCUCAUCCAAGAGUCAAGGGUUCACCGCAUUACAAACAUCCAAUGUGGGAGUUUCUUCUGUUCCUAUUACUACAGCAAAUGCAGGUGCGAGUAAGGCAACAUCUCAGCAGGUUGUAACAUUGAACCAUUCAAGUAGACUCCUCAGUUCCUCACCAGCUUCAAGAAGACUGUCGUUGACUUCGCUAGGGAACACUACAGCUGAUACAAAUACAUCAACAACUGGGUCUAACCUUGGCUUGUCAAUGCCUGGACUUUCCGCUCUCUUAGCAGGAACACCUUCUGCAGACCAUCCAAUUCCAGGUUCAGGCUCAUCAGUGUCAUCUCUCCUUGAGAGACUCACAGCAUCAUCAUCUACCUCAGGGACAAAUCCUCCUUCCUCCUUCACACCUCUGCCAUCAUCGAGUCCUAACGCUCAACCGUUCAGUUCGCCGUCACCUAAAAGUCAGUUCCUAUCACAGUCUCCUUCACCGAAGAAUCAACAGCAGCAGCAAACCCAUUUCCCGUCAGCAUCACCUAAACCUCCUGCAACUCCUUCGCCACUCUCAAGUCCUCCACUGUCGAGCGUUAAUCUUAAUCUUCAGGGACUUAGUCUGGCAAGUUUGCAGGGGGCCAUGGCCAGUAUCCCGGGUCUCCAGAACGUUCAGGUAUCCAUUCCUGGAUUAGCUGUACCUAUCUCUCUGUCACUUAAUGUUUCAACAUCAUCAGCGGGUGUAAUAGUGACUACGGUUCCUGUCACUACUACGACAGUCACCUACUCAACUGCCACCUCAAUGGCAUCAUCUAGCGCUGUGUCUGCUACCUCCUCUUUGGGCCCGGCAGGUUCUAACUCAACUACGGUGCUCACUAAUACGACCCCUGGUAUGGGUUCUGUGCUUUCUCUACCUGUUGUUUCAGCUCAGCUUAUGACAUCUAGUGUUAAAAAUCUGAGUCAGCAAAGUAUUCGUGCUACUGGACCAGGUGCCUCAGUCGCACUAGCACAAGGUGGCAAUAGUGGUGGUAUCCAGUUUGUGGGAGUGCAGAGGCCACGAGGUCUUUUAACAGCUAAUCAACUGUCAACAGCAGGAAAUAAACAGACACUGACUGCACGACAGAUUGUCAGUACUCAGAGACACACUCUCAAGAUGGCCACUGCUAAUACAGGUUCGGCUCAAUUAGCCGCUUCAUCAUUGGCUUCAGGCAAUCAAGUUGUCACUUUGACAGCCCAGCAACAGUUACAGUUAACACUCCAGAAACAAGCCCAGUUUCAGCAGCUGUGUUUAAACCAACAGUCACAGCAGCAUCAACAGAAGCCCACAGUAUCACCGGCAUCUGUGGCUACUAAGCAUCGGAGAAGAUCAAAUGCAGCUGAUCCCAACAAAUAGCAACUGCUGCUGUUGCAUCUCUGUGGGUCAGAAGCUGGCCUAUUCAUCUACCCUACAUCUCAUCACGAUGCUCACUACCUCGGUAAAGUUGCUAGUAAAAGCCUAAUAGCAGCUGCAGGUCCACAGAGGCAUAGUGUCCCCCAUUCACAACAAUAUAAAUGACAUUAACAACCCCAUCUUAUAACUAUCCUGGUGUUAUAAUUGCUGAAGGGGGCAAAGAGACAAAUUCUACACUGAACCUCUGUAACACUAUUAUUUAUUUCCAAGACAUUUUAUUCUUAGUUGUGGUACUCCAUUUUGGUGUAAUGAUUUAAAUAUUUGGCAUUAUGAUGUUGGUGUAUAUCCACUCAACUGUUUAACAGGUCCCAUACCUUGUUUCUCAGAUGCAAUGAAGCUUUCAUGUCCCGUAUAAAUAUUCGGGUAAUCUAAAAGGUGGAUUCUGAAAAGUUAGUUAAAUUGAAAGUAAUAACAGAAACCACUUGUCUCAUGUUACUAAUAAGUAAUGUGAUGUAAAAUUUAAUAAUUUUACGUUUACUGCAUUUAUUCAAAUACAAGAUUUCUGGAACCAGUGAAUUCCUGCAUGUACAAGUCGAUAGAAACUUUCAAGAAACAUCUUAAUAGUUUAUGUACUGCUGUAUGUCUCAGUAUGUCAGUAUAUUUUCUCAGGAUUAUUAAAUUCUUGGUCUUUGUUCAUCGUCUGGUAUCAAAAGAAUGCGUUUUUGAAACUGGAACUGUUUCUGUCCUCAGUUGAAGAGGGAAGAGGCACCUACUCAGUUGGGUCUGUUAGAAAGAGCUGAUCUCAGUCACUGACAAAGUCCAAGAAUUUACCAAUCCCGAGUAUAACACACUAUCAUCAGAACCCUUUAAAAUUGACCAGCAUAUUUAUCUUUCAAAUACUGCAUUUGCUAAUAUUUUACAUGUCUAUGUAACGUAUAAAAAUUUUCAACAUAUUUAUCAUUAAUGAUCAUUACCCAUUGAUUUAAUUUAAUGGCUACAUUCAUCAACAUGUGUGAACACACCUUUUUUUUGAGUCCAAAUUUUGACCUUUAUAUAAAAUGACGAAAGUAAUUCUCUCUUAUUCAUAUUUGAAUGGAUUAGGCAUCUUAAUGUUUAAAUUUAAUCUAAAUAUUGUAGAUAUAAAUUAGGAUGAUUUAAUUAUGGGUUGUAGCACUGUACAGUCUUUGUAGAAUUUUACUGAUGUUUCAGAGGUCCUUGCUGCCUCCAUUAUGAGGGCACUUACAAUGGAGGCGGCAAGCACUUCUGACUGAAAUAUCGCACAUAUAAAUUAAAUUUCUAAAGUAAAUUUUAGUAAAGCUCAUCAGUAUUAUUAAUCUGCUCCAAGUGAAGUUCUUCUUGUUAUCAAAUGAAAAUGAAGAAAUGUGAGGUUCAUCAAUAGUUUGGUAUUUUAACUGUUUUGACAUUCGUAUUGAUAAUUGUUUAAUAUAUUCUCUUUCCAUCCUUUAUGAAUCAUUUAACUUGAUAAAAUCUUACUUGUAAACACCGUCUUUAAAUUGUAGCUUAUUUUACUGCAAAGAGUUAAAGCAAUGUCUGUAUUUACUAAAUUGAUCAUUGAAUUUUAGAUCACUUUCCAAAAUGACCAAUAAAAAUUAACAUCCUAUAUACAUUGUAUACAUAUUUUAAUAUACAUCUCAUUUGAGUAAAGGGGUGCUCUGUGAUUCAGUAAAAUGUUUACAUUUAUCAGUAACAAAAAUAUGAUUACAAAAUUAAGCAAGUUUCAUUUGGUAGACUGACAUAAAAUCACAAAUCACAGGAUGUACUUUGUGAUGUGUGCAUUAUUUUAUGGCUGUAUCAUUUUAGAAGUAUUACUGUACAGUAAUAUAUAUGCCCCAUGGCACGGUGCAAACGUGAUUGGGUAAGAUGAAAUAAUUAUGUUUGUAGCUACCAUAUGAUAGUCCAUAAACUCAUAUUAUAAAACACCUACUUGUUACAAAGUGGUAAAUAAUUUAAGAUGUUGCCAGUGUGAUCAUACUGAAAUGGGACAGGGAAAUUUAUCUUUACCCUUAUAGCAAGGCCAUGAAAAAUUAAUUUUAUGGGUUGCAUACAUCCUCCUCUGUAUGUAACCCAUGUGUUCAAUAUUAAUUUUAAAUUUAAUCCACAUUCCUGAGUAGCAGCAUGCGCUCAUUGAAUAUCUACUUAAAUAAUAUAUUUGUGGUCAAAUAAGUAAUUUACAGGUUCACAUUAAAAAAACAUACAGAUGAUAUUAGCUGAAUUAAAUAUUCUUGAAAAUAUAGCUGUACUGGAUGCAAAAUAUCUGCAAGCAUGAUUCUUUGUACAUUAUUGCUUGCCCUCCCUCCCCAUAACUCAGCUGGCUAGCCACUAACAUGUUCAUUUCUAAAAGUCAAAAACUCAGACACACUUUAAAACUGAGAUAAUUAACUAAUUCAUAUAUAUUAACAACCUGUGCUUAUAUCAUACUUGACAGAAAUGUAUUUCCAGCAGUAAACUAUAUUGUAACUAUAGUAACAUGAAGAUGGCUGUCUUGCAGGAUGUAGCACUGUGUAGUCUAUUGCUACAUCCCAGAAAACAGCCAUCUUAAUGCUUGUCACUGUAAGGACCUCUUAUCUCACCAUACAGCAGUAUAGUCAAAAGUACUCUUACUUUGUUGAAUUCAGUAUUGUGUUGACUAAAAUGGUCUAGGAAUGUUAAACAGUGGUGACUCUUUGUCAAAUAUAUUUAAUGGGAACAAUUUGCUAGUAAUAUUAGCAGCACUACCUUACAUUAUGAAAACCUAUCUUCGCAUCAUUUAAUGUUAAAGUCUUGUGUAUGGUCCACAAUGUCUCUUAUACUUUCAACUAUAAGCUCUGAACUGAACACUUUGUAUAGCCAUGCUCUACAGUAUGGAACCCUUGCAGUUAUAAGUGAAAAUGACAUGGAUUAAAUAUCUUUGUGAUAUUACCCAUUGUGCAAGGUACAUUUGAUAUACAAGAGUUACCUCCGGUCGUGUGUAGGCAGUUGGUUGUCAUUAUACUGACAGAUCUAUUAUUACUCUUUAUGUUUUGAUAUUUUGUGAGUUUAGAUUGAAUUUGGGAGAAUCAGCAGAUAUCUUGUCAUGAACAGCGAGGGCCAGGUUCAAUAAAAGCAACAGACGUUUCAAACCUGUGUACAUGGCGUCUACUAACUUCAUACUGGCUGAAUGUGCUAUACAUGAUUCUUGACAACCCUACAAAUAUUUAAAAUGAAUUUUAAAGGAGAAUUGCAGUAUAAUAAUCUUGAUGCAGUUGUAAUAAAAAUGAAUAUAAGCAGUUAGUUGUUAAAGCUUAACUGAUGCACAUUAUAUAGAGAUCAUAAACCCAUGUUGCCAAAUCUGUACUUUUUUAAUUUUAGACUUUUAAAUGUGGAACAAAGACAAGUAUAUGUUUUAAUUUUCUACAAAUGAUAUAGAUGGAAUAAAUGAAUUGUAUGAUAACGAAAUAUUUUGUAUUAAGAGGUGCAGCUAUGUUACUGUUUUCCACUUGCAACAACAAAAACUGAAUAUUUGUAAAAAAAAAAAAAAGUAAUGGAGUAAAGACCAUCAUAAUAAUUAAAGUAAUAAUGUAAUAUUGUAUGUAUAAAGCUGAUUUCAAUGCCUGGCAAUAUUAUGUAUUGUAUACCAUUGUGAAGUUACAAGUUGCAUGUAUGUGUGAAUGUAAAUAUAUUCUAUUUAUAAAAUAUUGCAAGAAAGUGAGAGAGCUUGACUAAGAUAUAUAAGGGUCACUGUAUGAAAAUAUCAUGUUGAAACAAAAAUUGCGAUAAAUUUAUUUACAGAGUUUGAAUAAAUUUCUAUAGCAGA